AUAAAUAAUCAAAAAAACUGAUUAAAAAGCAGACUAUAAACAGUGUGAUUCUAAAUCCUAGUAUUGUCACUUAUUAGCUUAUGACUUGAUCUAAUUAAUCUUUCUAUGCUUUGAUUCUCAUUAGGCUGAUAUAGGA